AUUGAACGCUGGCGGCAGGCUUAACACAUGCAAGUCGAACGAGUGGCGGACGGGUGAGUAAUGCUUGGGAAACUGCCCGAUGGAGGGGGAUAACUACUGGAAACGGUAGCUAAUACCGCAUACCAUCGGAUGUGCCCAGAUGGGAUUAGAUAGUAGGGGGGGUAACGGCUCACCUAGGCGCCGAUCCCUAGCUGGUCUGAGAGGAUGACCAGCCACAACGGAACUGAGACAGGGUCCGGACUCCGUCGGGAGGCAGCAGUGGGGAAUAUUGCACAAUGGGCGCAAGCCUGAUGCAGCCAUGCCGCGUGUAUGAAGAAGGCCUUGGGGUUGUAAAGUACUUUCAGCGAGGAGGCGUUACUCGCAGAAGAAGCACCGGCUAACUCCGUGCCAGCAGCCGCGGUAAUUC
rnacentral:rRNA from 1 species